GCCACCGAAGCGGAUAACCCUGCGUGGCGGUGCCUGCGUCAUUCCCCGCGCUUCCUCUCAUCACGUAGGCAGUUUACCAUCUCAGGUGGGCUCAGUAAGGGUAAUGCAACUGAGCUCAAGAGAGGUUGAAUAACUUCAUCAAGAUCACACCACUAGUAAGAAGAACCGGGAUCCAAACAUUUGUAUAUAGAACCUCAUAGUUUCGGCUUGUUUCACUGUAGCACGAUGCUCUUCCCCUGAGAGUGGUGGCCAUGUGGGAAAGGCACUGGCCUGGGAGUCAGGAAGCCUCUGAUCCUGCCUGUGUCUGCCCCGAACCUAUGAGUCACCUUGGCACAAAAUCAGGACUGACGGAUCCGAAGUACACAGGAAGCAGAUUUCAUCUUAAUCCAACAAUGAGCUUCCUAUCAAUUCCAUUUGUUCCAUAAUAGAAUGGGCUGCCUCAAGGAGGGGUUUUCCGUAUCUUUGACCAAAGGAGAGUUGUCAUAAAAACAUAACUUGGUUCCAUGGCCAGGUUGACUGGUCCAGGUUUGGACUGCUUACUCAGGCUUGGCCAAUGAAUCCUUCCCUUGGAACUUCUGGAAUUGAGGCAAAAGAGAUCCUUGAAGGCUGUCACUUCCAGGUGCAUUGAGAUUGAUGACACAGAUUAUGUAUGCAGAAAUGCAAAAGAGAAAAGCUCAUUAAUUGCUUUAAAAUAUUACACCAAUGAUUAUCCUUGUUUUAUGGAAGAGGAAUCUGGCUCAGACAAGUGCUUCUUGUAAAGUUGCAGAAAUAAGCUGAGUCAAUAGAGAUAAUUCACAACUUAAAUGAACUCUGCAAAUUACCCGCAAGACAAAAGUCCCACCUCAUCAGAAUUUUCCUGGGACUGAGUUGAGAACAUAUGCCAUGUGAAAGUGGGAGAAGACCAGAAAUAGCUCAUUUGAGCUGGUGCAUGAAAUUUUAUUGGGAACAGGUAUGAUUUUGGCAAGACCAUGGGGCAACCAAAGAGAAGAAGACUGUAGGUCACACAAGGUGGUUCUAUGCUUUAGUGACUUGAGGACAGCCUAUCCAACUCAUCAUCAGAAGUUCCAAAAGUUGCUGAAUAGUUGGAAGAACCAGGCAACUGGCUGGACUGACUUGCUCCCUGAGGCUUUUUGCAGCUGUAAGCAAGUGCCCUGAAUCAAUAAGAUUUUCACUUUAGGAAGAGAAGAGAUAUGGCCAUGGAUUUCUACCAGUGGGAAAACGACGUAGCCCUGUCUUUGCCAACUGGCUGGUCAACUCUUCUUAUUGCAUUAGCAGAAUGAAAUUUUGCUAUUGGCCCCAGUACCUCUGGAAAGCCUCCAUGAUUCCUGUGGCCUUUUCUGCUUUUUCUCUAUUUUUUUUUUGCCUGGAUGAACUAGUGUCUAGAAGAGUACCUGAGAUGCGGUAUUUGCUAAAUGAAUGAACUUCUUCAUCCUUUACUCUUCAGUAUUCGGUAACAUUCACGAGGUUCUUUUACCAUUGAAAUUAAAAAUCUUAAGACCUUGGAAGCCAAGGCCUUAGAGCUAAUA